rnacentral:SRP_RNA from 10 species
GCUGGGUGCAGCGUGUGCCUGUAGUUCCAGAUACCAGGAGGCUGAGGCAGGAGGAUCGCUUGAGCCCAGGAGUUCUAGGCUGUAGUGCGCUACGCCAAUCAGGUGUCCGCACUAAGUUCAGCAUCAGUAUGGUGACUCCUGGGAACGGGCGACCACCAGAUUGCCUAAGGAAGGGUGAACCAACACAGGUUGUUAACAGAGCAGGUCAAAACUCCCAUGCUGAUUAGUAGUAGGAUUGUGCCUGUGAAUAGCUACUGCACUCUAGCCUGGGCAACAUAAAAA